CGCGUGCGGUCAUCGACACGGCUCCGAUUCCUGCUCCAUUGUAUAUCGAAAUAAGAAACACAGAGCUGCACGCUCGCUGUGCGUGGUAUGAGCCGGUGAGGAGACGCAAGUGGACCUGAUCCUUGCACAUCUUGGAACAAGAAAACACUCCAGUAGCAGAGGCUUGCAGGGUGACGCCGUGAUUGCCUGUCAGCUUUCACGCCGUUUUAUUACCGAGCAGGGACUGGGCUGGCAGGGCAGGGCCCAAGCUGCGGGGCUUCUCGCUCCCGGAGAGGGGAGGCCCAGGAGGGAAGCAGCACCCAACAGCUGGUGCUACACAUCUGUGGCACAGACCAGAGCUCUUGGGGCCCCCAAGGUGGCCAGGCUGGAGCCAAACUCCCAAGCCCUUCCUCUUGGGAACCCAUCCAAGCCGGUUUGCUGCUGCUGUGGCCUGUUGCAGAGGCCGCCGUGUCACAGUUUACAGGCAGAGGCCAGGCUGUGGCCCAGGAGGGACAAGGCUGCCGUCCCUGCUCCCUCGCCCAGGCACUGCUGCCCAGGGCCCUGAACCGAGGCUCAGCUGAAGGACCUGAACCCCUGUGCCCCAGCAAGCAGCUCCCAGUGGUUCAGAGCUGACACGGGGAGCUCUUCUCCCCCUCCUCUUUCCCCUUGGCAGGCUUCCACAUUUUCAGAUCCCCAUGGUGAGCUACAUGCUUAAAUGGUAAAGAAUUAACCCAGUUUUUAAAAAGAACCAUCUUCCGGCACUUCAUUGAGCUGCAGGUCUCCUGAGACAGUGCCAUGAAAACCAAAGCUGGCUGGCUGGAAGCACUGUGCAGCAAGGCUGGGUGAGCCAUGAAAGCAGCAGCCGGCACACACCCAUGCCUUCUGGGUAUGACUGCAGCAGCUGGCUUCCCUGCCCGGCCAUGGAGAUGCAGGUAUCCACAGGCAAGAGCCGCAGCCUGCACAAAGACAGGAGCAAGAACAUGCUCAAGGCAGUAGGAGGGUUGGAGUAGCAUAACCAGUCACGGUUUGACUCACUCUUCUAACCGAUGCCACUCGCUAUUUUAUUAACUGACCUUGCUUGAUGCUACAACCCUCACUGCUUCAAAACUGCCCAUUUACAAGUCUCCCGCAAAUAUAGUGUAAUUCACCUAGUAGUUAAAAGUUUGGAAAUUUUAUUUUUUUAAAUAAAAGCUAAAUAAGGA